GGGUCAGUAGGUUGGUCGUGCCACCGGUACGUACUGGUCUCACUGAUUCCUCCUUCCUGAAGAACCGUAAUGCCAUUAAUUUGGUGUUGCGGGGAAACAGGACUAUUACUUUGAAAAAAUUAGAGUUUUUAAAGCAAGCUAACGCUUGAAUACAUUAGCAUGGAAUAAUGAAAUAGGACGAUCGAUCCUAUUUUGUUGGUUUCUAGGAUUGACGUA
rnacentral:rRNA from 1 species